rnacentral:rRNA from 1 species
CCUACGGGGGGCAGCAGUGGGGAAUAUUGGGCAAUGGGCGCAAGCCUGACCCAGCAACGCCGCGUGAAGGAAGAAGGCUUUCGGGUUGUAAACUUCUUUUGUCAGGGACGAAGCAAGUGACGGUACCUGACGAAUAAGCCACGGCUAACUACGUGCAAGCCGCCGCGGUAACACGUAGGUGGAAAGCGUUAUCCGGAUUUACUGGGUGCAAAGGGCGUGUAGGCGGGACUGCAAGUCAGAUGUGAAAACCACGGGCUCAACCUGUGGCCUGCAUUUGAAACUGUAGUUCUGGAGUACUGGAGAGGCAGACGGAAUGCCUGGUGUAGCGGUGAAAUGCGUAGAUAUUAGGAGGAACACCAGUGGCGAAGGCGGUCUGCUGGACAGCAACUGACGCUGAGGCGCGAAAGCGUGGGGAGCAAACAGGAUUAGAUACCCGGGUAGUC